GGCUCGGUGGUGGAUGGUCCACACCUGCGGCAACUGGCUUUUGGAGGCGAUCCCAAUUCAGCAGGCAACGCCCGUUCGACUCGGGCCCGAGCCA